CAAAUGAAUUGACGGGGGCCCGCACAAGCGGUGGAGCAUGUGGUUUAAUUCGACGCAACGCGAAGAACCUUACCAGGGCUUGACAUCCCCUGACUGCGUAUGAAAGUACGUUUUCACCUUCGGGAGACAGGGAGACAGGUGGUGCAUGGUUGUCGUCAGCUCGUGUCGUGAGAUGUUGGGUUAAGUCCCGCAACGAGCGCAACCCCUGUGGUUAGUUGCCAGCAAGUAGCGUUGGGCACUCUAGCCAGACUGCCGGUGAUAAAUCGGAGGAAGGUGGGGACGACGUCAAAUCAUCAUGCCCUUUAUGUCCUGGGCUACACACGUACUACAAUGGCCGUUACAACGGGAAGCGAAGGAGCAAUCCGGAGCAAAUCCCUUAAAGGCGGUCCCAGUUCAGAUUGUGGGCUGAAACUCGCCCACAUGAAGGCGGAAUUGCUAGUAAUUGCAGAUCAGCAUGCUGCAGUGAAUACGUUCCCGGGCCUU
rnacentral:rRNA from 1 species